rnacentral:rRNA from 1 species
UACAGAGGGGGCAAGCGUUGUUCGGAAUUACUGGGCGUAAAGGGCGCGUAGGCGGCCUGUUAAGUCGAACGUGAAAUCCCCGGGCUCAACCCGGGAACUGCGUCCGAUACUGGCAGGCUUGAAUCCGGGAGAGGGAUGUGGAAUUCCAGGUGUAGCGGUGAAAUUCGUAGAUAUUCGCAAGAACACCAGUGGCGAAGGCGGCCAACUGGUCCGAUACUGACGCUGAGGCGCGAAAGCGUGGGGAGCAAACAGG